GGAAGCGGGAAGGAGGGAGCGAUCACAAGAGGUUCCGACAAAAGCCUGAGUCUCCGUAGGUCAGGUUGAUGUCGUCUCCACUCCUGGACGAGACAGUAGGUUCAAGGAUCUUCUGAACCUCAUCCUGUUGUAGGAGCUCCAGCCUUACUUGGAGAAUGUUGCUCAGAAGGGGAGACAGAUCCGUGUGCAAGUCUUGAGACUGGUACUAGCUUUUUGCUUCAUGAGGACACUGGUGUGAGGAUCAACAAAGAAGUCAGCUUCGGCCUGAAAGGAGCAGGCAGAUGAACAAAGUAACCAAACUGGACCUGUGACUGGGAUGUACACCAUUGUCUCUCCUGAGUCUCCCGCUUGCUGACUGCAGACAGUGGGACUUGCCAGCCUCAAUAAUCAUGGUGACUUACAGAAAGGAGAUAAAUUAGACUCUCUAAACGGAGCUGCAGUGUUGUGGUAUAGCCCAGGGAUGGAGUCAGAAGAUGAAAGUCAAAUUCUCAAUUCUCCACUUGAAAAUCAACUGACCUUGGUGGUCCAGUGAGCUGAGCAUGACAGUUACUCCUGAUUUCACCAAUGAGAAUCCAAAGCUUCAAGGUUAUGGAGUUGACGGAGCCAAGAUGAGAAUCCACAUCUUCUGGGUUUCGUGUGUGCCUUGCUAUUUUCAGCUGGGGGAAAAAAUUAUUCCUGGAAGAGGAAAUUAAGCAAGACUUGAAUAGUGGGAUAGCUGGAGGGGUGUGUGUGUGUGUGUGUGUGUGUGUGUGUGUGUGUGUUUUACAAUAGAACUCUAGCCUUGAACAUUCUCUGUUUGCUCUAUAUACAAUGGGGUCAAAUUAAUUAGCUCAACAAAUAACUUUUUUAGUGAUGGGCAUUGUUGUGGGUGCUGGGGAUAUAAUAGAGAACAAAAAUACCACAUCCUUGCCUCAUGGAGCUCACAUUCUAGAUACAAUGGAUAAAUGAUAAAUUAACAAUCAACAUAUAGUAUGAUAGAUGUUGAUUAUCAUUAAGGAAAAAAAAGUGGGGGUGACAGGGUAGGAAAACGAGGGAAGGAUUGCUGUUUUAUUUAGGGAGGUCAGAAGUGGCCUCAACAGUAAAGUUGCAUUUGAGGAGAGACUGCAAAGAAGUGAUGGAGUGUGCCACGUGGACACUGGGGACAGACUGGCAGAGCCGAGGGUGUGCAAAGGCCUUGAGGCAGGACCAUGUUGGGUACAUAUGAGAAACACCAAGGAAGCCAGUCUGGCUGGAGAAGAAAGACUAGACUGGGAUGGGGGGAGUGUUAUUAGCAGGAAAUGAGACAGGCAUCUGGGGAAGAGAUCUAAGACAGAUCAGAUCCUGAAGAAUCUUACUUACAUUAUGAGGGCAUGUGGGCUUCGGGAGACAGAGAUGCCUUAAGGCCUUUGACCAGAGGCAUUACACAAUCUGACAUACAAUGUUGGAGGAUUUAUGUUGCACUGAUUUGCCCUCUGUUAAGAUAUUCCUGGUUUGUAAUUUUUCUGCUGUGAGCAAGAGACUUAGUCCUGCCGCGGCAGGGCAGGGUGGGCUCUCCUUUCAAGUGUGCUCCAGUGGUGAGGUUGAAUUUUAGUAAUUCAUUCAUCAUUCACAUCAGUGACUGUGCUCUACCCAUGUGCCAGGAACGUAGGCUUUGGGGACUGGGGAGUGAGGAAGACAGACAGGGCCCCUGCUCUCAGGGAGCUUCUCUCACAGUGAAGAAAUACAGACAGUAAACAAAUGAACAAAUAAAAGAUUUCAGCUAAUGAAAAGCGCUAGGGAGAAAAUAAAACGGGGAGAUGUAAUGAUGCCAUUUGCAGGGGCUACUUUAGAUUUCAGUUGGAUUUUGAAAUGUGGAACUUGGGCAAAAAAUGUUACACGUGUGGAGCAAUUUACAGUUUACAAAUUCAAAGAGCCUGCCCCCACCCCCCCCCAAGAUGUUAUUACUCUGACUUUUUAAUUGAGAAACUGAGAAGUGAGAUUAGGCCACAUGCCCAAGGCACUAGUAAAUGGCAGAUUUGGGGUCUGAAUCCAAGUUUUUUCUAACUUUCAGUACCAAAAUGCUUCUCACAACAUACAUCACUGUGAAACAGACAGUAGGGCUGGAUAACCCCGGUACAGGGGAGGAGGGAAUCGGCAAUGCUUAGUUAAGACAAGAAACGCGUGGGGCACCUGGGCGGCUCAGUGGGUUAAGCGUCUGACUUCGGCUCAGGUCAUGAUCUCACGG